UAGUUACUCCCUCCGUCCCAUAUUAAGUGACUUUCUAUUACAUGUAUCUAGACAUUUAAGCAUAGAAACAUCCAUAUUUGGGCAAAUUGAAGUCACUUAACAUGGGACGGAGGGAGUACAUU
rfam:Brachypodium distachyon strain Bd21 chromosome 4, whole genome shotgun sequence.